rnacentral:rRNA from 1 species
GAUGAACGCUGGCGGCGUGCCUAAUACAUGCAAGUCGAGCGAACAGACGAGGAUCUUGCUCCUCUGACGUUAGCGGCGGACGGGUGAGUAACACGUGGAUAACCUACCUAUAAGACUUAGAUAACUGCGGGAAACCGGAGCUAAUACCGGAAAAUAUAUUGAACCGCAUGGUUCAAUAGUGAAAGACGGUUUUGCUGUCACUUAUACAUGAAUCCGCGCCGCAUUAGCUAGUUGGUAAGGUAACGGCUUACCAAGGCGACGAUGCGUAGCCGACGUGAGAGGGUGGUCGGCCACACUGGAACUGGGACACGGUCCAGACUACUACGGGAGGCAGCAGUAGGGAAUCUACCGCAGUGGGCGAAAGCCUGACGGAGCAACGCCGCGUGAGUGAUGAAAGUCUUCGGAUCGUAAAACUAUGUUAUUAGGGAAGAACAAAUGUGUAAGUAACUAGGCACGUGUUGACGGUACCUAAUCAGAAAGCCACGGCUAACUACGUG